UCCCUAAUACACAGUCAGCGUUUUUCAAGUGCUCUGUAAAUAUUCCCUAAUACAUUUUGUGCUCGCAUUACGGUCCGUUCGUAAGAUUUCAUUAGCUCGGCUCUCGAGGGGAAGUUUGCGGAACGUAAUUAGAAAUGAAAUGCAGGCGUCUGCAGGAGGAGCCACGCAGCGAGUCGUGGGGCGGGGCUGGCUGAUUUCGUAGUGGCGAUGCGGCUUCAAGUAUUUGAGUGUGUUUUUGCCACGCAUCAACGGAAAGUGGCCAAGGCGUGGAUGGCAGAAGAGCUAAGUUCAUCCGCACUUGACACAUGCUAAUGCGUGCGGUAAAUGGCGGCCCUAACCUCACUUUCGGGUCUGCGCUUCGGGUCACCUUGAAGAAAUGCAAAAAUGGAAGCGAGGCUGCAUUAAGCGUACGGUAAAUUUAACUUUUGAAUGUUUUUUUAUGUGUGUGUAUGGCUUAGCAAGUACUAAGUGCCAUCAACACCAGGGCCGUAAUUAAACGCUCGCAGAGCAUUUUCUAGGAUAGAGUUGCAGCUCUCUCGUUCCCAGCAAUUAGGCCGGAGUUGUCGUCAGUGCAAGUAAUGAUUAUGGCCAGGAAAAAGCGGAAGAUCUUCGGGCAAGCACAAAGAGCCAGCGCCAAAGACAGAGUUGGAGCCAUGGCCCAGGAGCACAGGACAUGGCCAAGUGCCAAUUAGCAAGCAAAAUAGAUUGUAGUAAAUUUUAAUGACAUAUACGGCAGCCGCAUGGACAUGGACUUAGUUCCUGCCUCCUUUUCCUCAGUCUCGGCC
rnacentral:lncRNA from 1 species